rnacentral:lncRNA from 1 species
GUUGUAAAUAGCUACUAGUUCGUUUAUAGUCGGAAAAUAGUGGGAUUUGAACAUGAUAGGCUGCGAAUUCAGUUAUUGGCGAUAAGAAGUGAGCCAUCCUAACAUCGAAUUAUCUGAAUUUCAAACGAUGUAAAAUAGUAAAAGAUGAUUCAGGAUAAUCCUCAGUUAACAUCAGAUAAGCUUUUUCAAUGUCAAUUAAGAGCGGUUGGCAAGCUUAGAAAUGGACAAUAGCGACGCCCGCUGGAUGGGGUUCAUAGCUGGAAUAGAUGUAAAACAAAUUGCACCCCUUGGAAAGUGGGUACGCAGACCCGUGAGCAACUGCGGCCACUCAUGAUGAGUUCAGAUUUUUUGUGUUUCUCACCCCCAUCAAAGUUGCCCAUCUCUGCUCUAAAAGGGCACUGAAAGAACUGUCGCUUUCAACUAUUGCUUGUUCAGGACAUUUCUAAUAUAGUUUUAUUUUCUAUGAACUUUAUGAAAUGAAUCCCCCUACCUUUUUCCUAUACAGUAGCCCUACAUGUUCCUUAGAACAGUAUUUAUAUAGAGAGAUGGUCUCUCCAACGUUCUAUCACAGAGAAGGGGCUAGGCAUGGGGACAUGGCAGAGAACCCCUAUUUUCGGAUAGUCGCCUUAUUAGGCCCAUCUGUAUGGAUCCCAAUAGGUUGCCUGAUCAUUUCUCCGAAUGGCCCCUCUCCCUUGACCUGUAAGCAUCUUUGUUGCUUGAUGAGGCAAAGGGUCACUAAUUCACCAAUCUCCUAUCAGGGCAAAAUUUUAGUUCAAGACUGAUAUGGAGAGAGAGAGAGAGGGAAAUGGAGUCCUGCAAACUUAAGGUAUAUACUAUUCUGGUCUUCUUGAGUCACUGCUGUUGGGGAGCCAACAGACUGUUGGGAAGCCCCCCCCCAUCCUUCACCCCCCACUUCUAUUAAAAUAAUCUGUCUGUUUCAGUUAGCUAGUCUCAAAAUGCGGCCAUUCUCCUCUCAGCCAUAAACCUGUCUGUUGGACUCAGUCCAUCUCUCCUUUUUUCCCUCUUCCCUCUCUCUCCACCUUCUCAAAGUGUGGUAAUUAGAUCAUGUGUGGUAAUUCGAUCAUCAAGUCAAUUAUGGAGAGACUCAUUCUUAAGAGUCUAUUUACGCGCCCGCGCAUCAAUCUAAGUAACAUCAAAAUCCGUCAGUUUAAGCUAGAGAUAUCAGGGCUGUGUCUCAAUCCACCACAUCCGCCUAUGUUGACCUUCCGACCUUCCUAUGUUGACCUUGCGGUGUAAGGUCGCUGAGCUGCAACAGUGUUUGUCAGACCAUGAGACCGCGAAAAUCGGUCUUCUCACGAAAACAUCUGUAGCGUCCAUACAGUCCGUAUGAUUUAUUUUCUGACUGUCUUUUUUGCCAUUUAUGAAUGUGUUCUUCAAUGCAUGUAUAUGGGCUAUAGUAGUAAAGGCCAAAUUCAAUGUUUUAUCAAAUAUAAAAAUUGAUACCUAAAGGGGUCCUAAAAUAGUUAAAUGAUCCAUGGUAUGAUCAUCUUAAAACAAAUCCAUGUGUUAGCUUAGUGCCCCCCCUCUCUCUCUCUACAAACUAUUGAAAACAUCAGGUGGUCAUAAGAUUAAAGGAAUGUCCACCUGCUUUGAAAAUCCUCUCUAAGCUCAAGGGGCGAGAGUUCAGCUUUAACUGGUUGAAGACUGGGUGAAAGUGAUAGGGAGGAACCUUAAGAGUAUUACCAAAAAAAUGAAAACAAAAUCUGCCCUUGAUUCAAACAAUAACUGUGCUAUAAAAAGUCAACGGAUUAAUAUUUUUUUUUUUAGCUUUUGCCCC